rnacentral:rRNA from 1 species
AAUGGGGGCAACCCUGACGCAGCGACGCCGCGUGGAUGAUGAAGGCCUUUGGGUCGUAAAAUCCUGUCAGAUGGAAAGAAACGUAAGGUGGCUAAUAUCUGCCUUAUUUGACGGUACCAUCAAAGGAAGCACCGGCUAACUCCGUGCCAGCAGCCGCGGUAAUACGGAGGGUGCAAGCGUUGUUCGGAAUUACUGGGCGUAAAGCGCGCGUAGGCGGUUUGCUCAGUCAGAUGUGAAAGCCCUCGGCUUAACCGGGGACGUGCAUUUGAUACUGGCAGACUUGAGUACUGGAGGGGGUGGUGGAAUUCCCGGUGUAGAGGUGAAAUUCGUAGAUAUCGGAAGGAAUACCGGUGGCGAAGGCGACCACCUGGCCAGAUACUGACGCUGAGGUGCGAAAGCGUGGGGAGCAAA